rnacentral:rRNA from 1 species
UACAGAGGGUGCAAGCGUUAAUCGGAAUUACUGGGCGUAAAGCGUGCGUAGACGGUUAUGUAAGUCGGGUGUGAAAGCCCCGGGCUCAACCUGGGAAUGCCAUUCGAGACUGCAUAGCUAGGGUGCGGAAGAGGGAAGCGGAAUUUCAGGUGUAGCGGUGAAAUGCGUAGAUAUCUGAAGGAACACCAGUGGCGAAAGCGGCUUCCUGGUCCAGCACCGACGUUCAGGCACGAAAGCGUGGGGAGCAAACAGG